GGGGGAGGUUUCACUCCCAACCCCUGUGACAUACCAAUUGUUGCCUCGGCGGAUCAGCCCGCUCCCGGUAAAACGGGACGGCCCGCCAGAGGACCCCUAAACUCUGUUUCUAUAUGUAACUUCUGAGUAAAACCAUAAAUAAAUCAAAACUUUCAACAACGGAUCUCUUGGUUCUGGCAUCGAUGAAGAACGCAGCAAAAUGCGAUAAGUAAUGUGAAUUGCAGAAUUCAGUGAAUCAUCGAAUCUUUGAACGCACAUUGCGCCCGCCAGUAUUCUGGCGGGCAUGCCUGUUCGAGCGUCAUUUCAACCCUCAAGCCCCCGGGUUUGGUGUUGGGGAUCGGCGAGCCCUUGCGGCAAGCCGGCCCCGAAAUCUAGUGGCGGUCUCGCUGCAGCUUCCAUUGCGUAGUAGUAAAACCCUCGCAACUGGUACGCGGCGCGGCCAAGCCGUUAAACCCCCAACUUCUGAAUGUUGACCUCGGAUCAGGUAGGAAUACCCGCUGAACUUAAGCAUAUCAAA
rnacentral:rRNA from 1 species